rnacentral:rRNA from 1 species
GAUGAACGCUGGCGGCGUGCCUAAUACAUGCAAGUCGAGCGAAUGGAUUAAGAGCUUGCUCCUAUGAAGUUAGCGGCGGACGGGUGAGUAACACGUGGGUAACCUGCCCAUAAGACUGGGAUAACUCCGGGAAACCGGGGCUAAUACCGGAUAACAUUUUGAACCGCAUGGUUCGAAAUUGAAAGGCGGCUUCGGCUGUCACUUAUGGAUGGACCCGCGUCGCAUUAGCUAGUUGGUGAGGUAACGGCUCACCAAGGCAACGAUGCGUAGCCGAGCUGUGAGGGUGAUCUGCCACACUGGGACUGAGACACGGCCCAGACUCCUACGGGAGGCAGGAGUAGGGAAUCUUCCGCAAUGGACGAAAGUCUGACGGAGCAACGUCGCGUGAGUGAUGAAGGCUUUCGGGUCGUAAAACUCUGUUGUUAGGGAAGAACAAGUGCUAGUUGAAUAAGCUGGCACCUUGACGGUACCUAACCAGAAAGCCACGGCUAACUACGUGCCAGCCGCCGCAGUAA